rnacentral:rRNA from 1 species
GAUGAACGCUAGCUACAGGCUUAACACAUGCAAGUCGAGGGGAAACGACAUCGAAAGCUUGCUUUUGAUGGGCGUCGGCCGGCGCACGGGUGAGUAACGCGUAUCCAACCUGCCCACCACUUGGGGAUAACCUUGCGAAAGUAAGACUAAUACCCAAUGACGUCUCUAGAAGACAUCUGAAAGAGAUUAAAGAUUUAUCGGUGAUGGAUGGGGAUGCGUCUGAUUAGCUUGUUGGCGGGGUAACGGCCCACCAAGGCGACGAUCAGUAGGGGUUCUGAGAGGAAGGUCCCCCACAUUGGAACUGAGACACGGUCCAAACUCCUACGGGAGGCAGCAGUGAGGAAUAUUGGUCAAUGGACGAGAGUCUGAACCAGCCAAGUAGCGUGCAGGAUGACGGCCCUAUGGGUUGUAAACUGCUUUUAUAAGGGAAUAAAGUGAGUCUCGUGAGACUUUUUGCAUGUACCUUAUGAAUAAGGACCGGCUAAUUCCGUG